rnacentral:rRNA from 1 species
UACGGAGGAUGCGAGCGUUAUCCGGAUUUAUUGGGUUUAAAGGGUGCGUAGGCGGUCCGUUAAGUCAGCGGUAAAAUUGCGGGGCUCAACCCCGUCGAGCCGUUGAAACUGGCAGACUUGAGUUGGCGAGAAGUACGCGGAAUGCGCGGUGUAGCGGUGAAAUGCAUAGAUAUCGCGCAGAACUCCGAUUGCGAAGGCAGCGUACCGGCGCCAGACUGACGCUGAGGCACGAAAGCGUGGGGAUCGGACAGG